GGCUUCGUAGUCGAGUGGUAAGAAUACUUGCCUCUCACUCUGGAGUCCUGGGUUCGAUCCCCGGACGAGGAGCUA
rnacentral:tRNA from 1 species